rnacentral:rRNA from 1 species
CGGGCGCGGCGAACGGUCUAAGUCCCUUGGAACGGGGCGUCAUAGAGGGUGAGAAUCCCGUAUGGGACCGGCGACCCAGCCCAUGUGAAACUCCUUCGACGAGUCGAGUUGUUUGGGAAUGCAGCUCUAAAUGGGUGGUAAAUUUCAUAUAAAGCUAAAUACCGGCCAGAGACCGAUAGCGCACAAGUAGAGUGAUCGAAAGAUGAAAAGCACUUUGGAAAGAGAGUCAAACAGUACGUGAAAUUGUUGAAAGGGAAGCGCUUGCAACCAGACCUGCCCGCGGGCGAUCCCCCGUUUUCUCGCGAAAGCGGUGCACUCGCCCGCGAUCAGGCCAGCAUCGGUUCGGGCGGCCGGAUAAAGGCCCUGGGAAUGUAGCUCCUUUCGGGGAGUGUUAUAGCCCGGGGUGCCAUGCGGCCCGCCCGGACCGAGGACCGCGCUCCGGCUAGGAUGCUGGCGUAAUGGUUGUAAGCGGCCGUCUUGAAACACGGACCAAGGAGUCUAACAUCUAUGCGAGUGUUUGGGUGUCAAACCCGUGCGCGCAAUGAAAGUGAACGGAGGUGGGAACCUAUUGAGGGCGCACCAUCGACCGAUCCAGAUGUCUUCGGAUGGAUUUGAGUACGAGCAUAGCUGUUGGGACCCGAAAGAUGGUGAACUAUGCCAGAAUAGGGUGAAGCCAGAGGAAACUCUGGUGGAGGCUCGCAGCGGUUCUGACGUGCAAAUCGAUCGUCAAAUUUUGGCAUAGGGGCGAAAGACUAAUCGAACCAUU